rnacentral:rRNA from 1 species
AAUAUUGCACAAUGGGCGAAAGCCUGACGCAGCCAUGCCGCGUGAAUGAUGAAGGUCUUAGGCUUGUAAAAUUCUUUCACCGGGGACGAUAAUGACGGUACCCGGAGAAGAAGCCCCGGCUACCGUCCUGCCAGCAGCCGCGGUAAUACGCAGGGGGCUAGCGUUGCCCGGAAUUACUGGGCGUAAAGGGCGCAGAGGCGGAUCGUUAAGUCAGAGGUGAAAUCCCAGGGCUCAACCCUGGAACUGCCUUUGAUACUGGCGAUCUUGAGUAUGAGAGAGGUAUGUGGAACUCCGAGUGUAGAGGUGAAAUUCGUAGAUAUUCGGAAGAACACCAGUGGCGAAGGCGACAUACUGGCUCAUUACUGACGCUGAGGCGCGAAAGCGUGGGGAGCAAACAG